rnacentral:lncRNA from 10 species
UUUUUUCAAAUCUCAGUUUUAUUCUCAUUCCAGCAUCCUAAUGCUUUCCCUUUGGAUUUUUUUUUCUAAUCUUGAGAAGUUUGUGUUUUCAGUGUAGUAAUAACAAUAAUAGUGUUCUUAGCACACGCGUUACGCCAAGGGCUUUUAAAAGAUACUUUUCAUAAACCAACUCACUUAAUUCUCACAACAACUUUUGAAGUAGUCCACUUUCUAAUCCUCAUUUUACAGAUAAGGAAACUGAGGCACACAAGGUCAGCUAACCUGCCCGAGGUCUCUAGCUAGUGACUGGAAGAGGUGUUCUCUGGAUAUUAUUUGAAUCUCAGUCUCGCUAUAUUUCUUCGUCAUGACUGUAACUUUCCCCCUGUAUUUCUAAAUAUUUUAAUCUCUUGAUCAUAUAGCAUACGUUGAUUUAAUAAAUCACUUUUACAUGCA